UCAGCAUUUGGAUUUCGCUAUUCUGUUGUAUAUUAAACUUUCGUUCAGAUAAAGAUUCUGUAAAAUUGUAUAGUUACAGUUGGCCGAAUGCCUAAAACAUCAAGACUCUAAUCGUGAAUAAGUUACGAAAAAGAAGAAGAAAAAUACCGUAUUAAAUUGCAGCGUUUUUAAAAUCACAUUUCUGUAGACUGAUGAAUUUAUUCGGGAACAAUAAUGGCACAAAAGACAAUAUUCGACGGCAGUGUAAUAACGGCCGGUUGAUUAAUUAUUGUUACGCGCGGAGAACGAACCCCGUC